rnacentral:rRNA from 1 species
UACGUAGGGGGCGAGCGUUGUCCGGAAUUAUUGGGCGUAAAGCGCGUGUAGGCGGCCCAGUAGGUCGAAUGUGAAAGCCCGGAGCUCAACUCCGGAACUGCAUCCGAUACUGCUGGGCUCGAGGCAGGUAGAGGAGAGUGGAAUUCCCGGUGUAGCGGUGGAAUGCGCAGAUAUCGGGAGGAACUCCAGCGGCGAAGGCGGCUCUCUGGGCCUCGCCUGACGCUGUGCCGCGAAAGCGUGGGUAGCGAACAAG